CCUAUUAUGGCAGACUAGUGCAAUGGAUUUAAGGCCCAUACAUAAAGGUAACUUUUUCUAGGA
rnacentral:tRNA from 1 species